AUUGAACGCUGGCGGCAGGCCUAACACAUGCAAGUCGAGCGGAGCGGCGGCUGGGUGAGUAAUGCCUAGGUAUCUGCCUGUUAGUGGGGGAUAACGUUCGGAAACGGGAGCUCAUACCGCAUACUAGCCGUUGAGCCUAGGCCGGAUUAGCGAGUUGGUUGGGUAAAGGCCUACCAAGGCGACGAUCCGUAGCUGGUCUGAGAGGAUGAUCAGUCACACUGGAACUGAUACACGGUCCAGACUCCUACGGGAGGCAGCAGUGGGGAAUAUUGGACAAGGGGCGAAAGCCUGAUCCAGCCAUGCCGCGUGUGUGAAGAAGGUCUUCGGCUUGUAAAGCACUUUAAGUUGGGAGGCGUUACCAACAGAAUAAGCACCGGCUAACUUCGUGCCAGCAGCCGCGGUAAUUC
rnacentral:rRNA from 1 species